rnacentral:tRNA from 1 species
GGGUAGAGCUCAGUGGUAGAGUGCCUGCAUGACGUGCAGGAGGUCCUGGGUUCAAUCCUCAGUAUCUCCA